rnacentral:tRNA from 1 species
GCCCUUAGCUCAGCUGGAUAGAGCGUCUGACUACGAAUCAGGAGGUCGGGGGUUCGAAUCCCUCAGGGC